AUUGAACGCUGGCGGCAUGCCUUACACAUGCAAGUCGAACGGUAACGCGGGGCAACCUGGCGACGAGUGGCGAACGGGUGAGUAAUGUAUCGGAACGUGCCCAGUUGUGGGGGAUAACUGCUCGAAAGAGCAGCUAAUACCGCAUACGACCUGAGGGUGAAAGCGGGGGAUCGCAAGACCUCGCGCAAUUGGAGCGGCCGAUAUCAGAUUAGGUAGUUGGUGGGGUAAAGGCCUACCAAGCCUACGAUCUGUAGCUGGUCUGAGAGGACGACCAGCCACACUGGGACUGAGACACAGCCCAGACUCCUACGGGAGGCAGCAGUGGGGAAUUUUGGACAAUGGGGGCAACCCUGAUCCAGCCAUGCCGCGUGCGGGAAGAAGGCCUUCGGGUUGUAAACCGCUUUUGUCAGGGAAGAAAUCCUUUGAACUAAUACUUCGGAGGGAUGACGGUACCUGAAGAAUAAGCACCGGCUAACUACGUGCCAGCCGCCGCGGUAA
rnacentral:rRNA from 1 species